UACAGAGGUCUCAAGCGUUGUUCGGAUUCAUUGGGCGUAAAGGGUGCGUAGGCGGCGCGGUAAGUCGGGUGUGAAAUCUUGGAGCUUAACUCCGAAACUGCAUUCGAUACUGCCGUGCUUGAGGACUGGAGAGGAGACUGAAUUUACGGUGUAGCGGUGAAAUGCGUAGAUAUCGUAAGGAAGACCAGUGGCGAAGGCGGGUCUCUGGACAGUUCCUGACGCUGAGGCACGAAGGCCAGGGGAGCAAACGGG
rnacentral:rRNA from 1 species